CCCUUAGAUGUUCUGGGCCGCACGCGUGCUACACUGAGUGGAUCAGCGGGUCAGGUUGCGCGAAAGUGUUUCCUAAUCUUUAAAUCCGCUCGUGAUGGGGAUUGACGGUUGCAAUUUUCCGUCAUGAACGAGGAAUACCUUGUAAGCGCGGGUCAUCAUCCCGCGCUGAAUACGUCCCUGCCCUUUGUACACACCGCCCGUCGCUCCUACCGAUUGAAUGAUCCGAUGAAUAUCAUGGAUUGAGGAUGCAAGCAGGUUCGCCUGUCUUCAUCUUCGAGAAGUGAAGUAAAGCUUAUCAUUUAGAGGAAGGAGAAGUCGUAACA
rnacentral:rRNA from 1 species